CAAACUAUCUCCCCUUGAUAUGAAGGCCAUUAACCCUAUUUUGCUACCCCCGAAAAGCUAUUGUUGUAAAUAUUUCAUAGGUUUAUGACUUUGUAAAUGGAGAAUAGUAAGUUGUAAGGGUCUUGUCGAGCCUUUGAGCAUGUCUUUAUGACAUGUGAGCAAGGCAUGCGAAAAGAUUGGAAGUUUCCGCAGUCGCACCAACCUCUAUCUAG
rnacentral:lncRNA from 1 species